UACGUAGGGUGCAAGCGUUGUCCGGAAUUAUUGGGCGUAAAGAGCUCGUAGGCGGUCUGUCGCGUCUGCUGUGAAAACUCGGGGCUUAACUCCGGGCCUGCAGUGGGUACGGGCAGACUAGAGUGCGGUAGGGGAGACUGGAAUUCCUGGUGUAGCGGUGAAAUGCGCAGAUAUCAGGAGGAACACCGGUGGCGAAGGCGGGUCUCUGGGCCGUAACUGACGCUGAGGAGCGAAAGCGUGGGAGCGAACAGG
rnacentral:rRNA from 1 species